rnacentral:rRNA from 1 species
AGUGAACGCUGGCGGUAGGCCUAACACAUGCAAGUCGAACGGCAGCACAGUAAGAGCUUGCUCUUACGGGUGGCGAGUGGCGGACGGGUGAGGAAUACAUCGGAAUCUACUUUUUCGUGGGGGAUAACGUAGGGAAACUUACGCUAAUACCGCAUACGACCUACGGGUGAAAGCAGGGGAUCUUCGGACCUUGCGCGAUUGAAUGAGCCGAUGUCGGAUUAGCUAGUUGGCGGGGUAAAGGCCCACCAAGGCGACGAUCCGUAGCUGGUCUGAGAGGAUGAUCAGCCACACUGGAACUGAGACACGGUCCAGACUCCUACGGGAGGCAGCAGUGGGGAAUAUUAGACAAUGGGUGCAAGCCUGAUCCAGCCAUACCGCGUGGGUGAAGAAGGCCUUCGGGUUGUAAAGCCCUUUUGUUGGGAAAGAAAAGCAGCAGGUUAAUACCCCGCUGUUCUGACGGUACCCAAAGAAUAAGCACCGGCUAACUUCGUG